rnacentral:rRNA from 1 species
GACGAACGCUGGCGGCGCGCUUAACACAUGCAAGUCGAGCGAGAACCAGGCUUCGGCCUGGGGAAAGCGGCGAACGGGUGAGUAACACGUGGGUAACCCACCCUUGGCACUGGGAUAGCCCGAGGAAACUCGGAUUAAUACCGGAUGGCCCAACAGCUCUUCGGAGCGGUUGGAAAAGGUAGCUUCGGCCUCCGGCCAAGGACGGGCCCGCGGCGGAUUAGCUUGUUGGUGGGGUAACGGCCCACCAAGGCGACGAUCCGUAGCUGGUCUGAGAGGACGAUCGGCCACACUGGGACUGAGACACGGCCCAGACUCCUACGGGAGGCAGCAGUGGGGAAUCUUGCGCAAUGGGCGAAAGCCUGACGCAGCGACGCCGCGUGGGGGAAGAAGGCUUUCGGGUUGUAAACCCCUUUCAGGAGGGACGAAGCCACUCGGGUGAAUAGCCCAGAGGGUGACGGUACCUCCAGAAGAAGCCCCGGCUAACUACGUGCCAGCAGCCGCCGUAA